rnacentral:rRNA from 1 species
CAGAGACCUCAAGCGUUAUCCGGAAUCAUUGGGCGUAAAGCGUACCGAUAGGUGGUUUUGGUAGUUUUGGGUAAAAGCCGGAAGCUCAACUUCCGCGUUUGCUCAAAAUACUCCAAGACUAGAGGGACAAAGAGGUUGCUGGAACGAACGGUGUAGUAGUGAAAUGCGUUGAUAUCGUUCGGAACACCGAAAGCGAAGGCAGGCAACUGGGUGUCACCUGACACUGCUAGGACGAAAGCGUGGGGAGCGAAUGGGAUUAGAUACCCCAGUAGUCCACGCUGUAAACGAUGAGUGCUAGGUAUUUGCGAGUAUCGACCCUCGUAUGUACCGUAGCUAACGCGUUAAGCACUCCGCCUGGGGAGUACGGCCGCAAGGCUA